rnacentral:rRNA from 1 species
UACGUAGGGUGCAAGCGUUGUCCGGAAUUAUUGGGCGUAAAGAGCUUGUAGGCGGUUUGUCGCGUCUGCUGUGAAAUUUCGGGGCUCAACCCCGAACUUGCAGUGGGUACGGGCAGACUAGAGUGUGGUAGGGGAGACUGGAAUUCCUGGUGUAGCGGUGAAAUGCGCAGAUAUCAGGAGGAACACCGGUGGCGAAGGCGGGUCUCUGGGCCGAUACUGACGCUGAGGAGCGAAAGUGUGGGGAGCGAACAGG